rnacentral:lncRNA from 1 species
AAAAAUAACAUGAGGAAAACUUUUAUAAUUAAAAAUGGCUCAUCAUAAUCCAGAAACAUUGUUAAAAAUUUUGAUGGUGAAUAUUUGUGAUAAUCAUAAAUGAUUUUGUUUUAUAUAUAAAUAUUAACUAAUUUCAGAAAUUCAGAAUCAAAUUCAAUCACAUUUUCCCAAUUACUAAAUGCUUCUACCAUAAAAUAGUGGAGGAGGCUUUUUCACCUGGGCAAACUGAUUUCAAUUCAGAUAGCAUCACAUUUAAGCAGUAUAUAUUAAUAAUAAAAUACCCUAGGUUUAAUAAUGUACCCCCUCAACUUUCCCAAGAGUAAAAUAUACAUGAAUUUUGAUCUUGGCAUAGUGUACCUGAAUUUUACUUCACAAAUUUAGAGCAAAAUUGCAUCACUUAGUUGAAAUACCAUAUCGUAUCGAAACCCUCAUUUCAUACGAGUUACCUCCCCUUCUAAUUUAGUGAAUUUUUAUUUCACUACUCAGUGGCGAAUCCAGAACUUUUCAUGAGGGGGCCCGCUCCAGUCAUGCUACAGUGAUUCCUUAUAUAAUCUUCCCACAAAGGGGGGGGGGGGGGCAAGGCUCCCUGGAUCCACCUAUGCUACUGUCAUUCAAGAUAUCAGUGUUUUCAUGUAAACCCGAGUCAUUAUUUGUUAUUUUACCUUAUAUUUUCUGUAAAAAAAGAUACAUUAUUAAAUUUUGGAACAGUUCAAUUGUAAAAAUUCAUAGAAGCAUAUCUUAAUUUACUCCAAAAAAUAUAGAAAUUUGUUAUUUAUAAUCUUUUAUUUAACACAUUUAAUAAUUUGGUUAUGCAUGAAAAAGGUUUGAACAUUUCUUUUUUCAUUCGUUGAUUAAAGUAAAUUAACAUUUCCAAUUUUUUUUUCUAUUCAAGAAAUUAUUUACUUAUUAUAUUAAGUAAAACAUUUUGAAGAAAGAGAUGAAAAAACACAUAAAAAAUUCAUGUUGCAUUUUGACAAUUUUUGAUAGAAAAAAUGGAGCAAAGAAUGAAAAAAAAACAUUUAACUUAAACAAUUAGUAAAUAAGUUAACAUAUCAAAUACUUGCUACCAUUCUGUGGUGCCUGAGAUCACCCUUUUUUUUUGUUGGUGCUUGGUGUCUGAGAUCAUUCCUGGUCUUUGGUAAGGUUGGUGUGUUGUGCCUGAAAUCAUCCCUGGUCUUUGGAAAGGUUGGUGCUUGGUGCCUGAGAUCAUCCCUGGCUCUUUAGUUUGGUUGGUGCAUGGUGCCUGAAAACCUCUUAGGUCUUUGGUUGGGUUGGUGCUCUUUGCCCUAGUUCAUGCCUGUUCUUUGUUUUGGUUGGUGCUCGGUGCUGGAGAUCAUCCCUGGUCUUGGUGCUUGGUGCCUGAGAACCUCUCAGGUCUUUGGUUGGGUUGUUGCUGUACAAUAUUUUGUUAUCAGUGUAGACAAUUUUCCGUCACUUCUUUUGUUUAUGUGUUGUCAUGUCUUUUUUCACCACAUGGGUUUAGAUUGGCCCUUUGGUAUCUUCCUUUUUUUAUGUAUGAUCUUGUUAAUCAUUAUACCUCACUGUUUGAAUUUUGAGGAUUAUAUUAUGGAAAUACCAUUAGAGAUAUGCUAUUCCCAGAUGUUCCAGGACAUGGAUACCUUCUUGAUUACACUGUGUGUGCUGCUUCAUUGAAAAAAGGUGAAAAUUAAGAUGUCUCUGGUGUGUUAAAUUUUGUGAGGUAGGAUAUUUCUUGUGUUC